GAUAACAACUAAAUAUAUCCUUCAGGCUGUUGUUUCAAAUAUCAAUGUACGAAAUUAAAACCCAAGAUUAUUACAGUCUUUAGUAGUGAAACUUCUUAAACAUCAGUACAUUAAUGACCUAUUAAUACAUGAAUACUAUAUGAAUAACUAAUCUUUUAUAGCUUAAUGUAACUGAACAUCUAUGAACCUCUGUCUUUUUUAGAUAUGAUUCAUCCAUCAAAAAACCGAGUCCAAUGCCUGGACCUGUAAAUUUAGCAGGCCUACCAACAGUAAAACUCCAGCCCUCAGCUUUUUGAACCUGCAGAUUUGACCAACUAGUGGCCAAAUCCAUAGGUUUUAGCUUCAUAGUUAGAACAAAACUCAAAUGGCAUAAAAUGUUGUACAUCUAAUAUAAGAAAUAAGGGAGGCAAUAUUGUUACUCAUGUUUAAAGGGAAAACAUCCUUAAAUAAAUUCCAAGAUGAUAGCUACUAAAAUAUCUAUGUAUUUGCUAGGCCAUGCAUCCUAAAUUACUAAAAAAAAAACUCACAUAAUGACAAACAACUAUAUUCAUAUCAUAAAAAAAACAGCAAUACUACAUUUUCAUAUAGGGUUUGCAACUCAAGUCUUACAUUAUUUUUAACAAAAUCAUUAUAUGGAGAAGAAGGGAACCAAGUACCUUGAUUAAAAUAGCAAUAAAAAUUCAGCAACUAAAGGUGUGAAGUGGCAGAAGCCUUAAAUGAAGGUGGAGCAACAGCAAAACAAAAGCAGCAUCAAGCAAAAACCCAAAACUUCAGACUCAAGAAUAACCACUUGAACCCAGAAAAUGACCAACCAAAUAACCUCCUGAAACUCUCUAUUUCAAUCCAUAUUUUUAACUUGUGAGGAAUGAGAGGUUUUUUUGAGUUUUUUCCAAGAUUGCUGGAGUAUGAACUUUUUAGAGAAAAUAGAACUUUUUUUAGUAAAAAUGCUGAUGAAAAUGUGUGUUCAGAGAUUUUGUGCAGAAUAUUAAAGCUGAAUCUGUCUAUUCUCUUUUGGAAAAGGCACUAUAUAUAGGGAUAUAUAAUGCCUUAUGCUGAAGGAAUUAUUCCUUGGCCAUAAACAGCAUAUUCUAACAGAAUUGGGACAACUGGCUUUCCCCUAUUGGUUUCAGUACUUUUGUACUAACCAAAUGCGGCCAGCUGCCCCUUUUUCUAGAGUGUUAUGAUAUUUCUCAAAUUGAAAAAAAAUCUCAAAUGCCCUUCUAAAGCUUGUUUAUUACAGCCUCUGCCUAAAAUUUCCUUGUACACUUAGGUCCCUAAGGUUCCUAAUUGCGGACAAAUCAAAACUAACAUCCUAAGGCCAAAAUCAAUACACACAAAACGAUCAAAGAAGAGACCAUUGAGAAAAUAAACUUUAGACUAAAAAUAAACUCAAUUUGCAUGAACAAAAUCCGAAAAAUGAAACAAAUACAAAAGAAAUAAUUUAACCCCAAUUUUAAUAGAAAUGAAACAAACACGGAUGAAAGCCUUAAACAUAAUGUUAGCAUAAAAUAUAAAGGGAAAUUACUAAGCCUAUGCACAAGUAAUAAAGCUUGGCAAACAAGAAAAACAAGAACUUAACCAUACGGCCAAACUAACAGUAGAAUCAAUUGAAAACAAACUUUAAUUUAAACUAAACAUGAUUUAAUUAACCUAAAUGCCUCGGACUGAUUUAAUUAAAAUGACUGACUAAUUAAACUCAUUUUUUACUGAAAUCCCAACAAACCAAUAAUUAAAACCAACAAAACUGAAAACCUAAAAAUAAAAACAACUAGCUAAGGGAAAGAAGAAAAGCAUACAAAGCAUGAUUCUGAAAACGAAAAUAAACCUAGACAUGUGAGUAAACCUAAAGAAAGGGAGAGGAAUAGGAUUCUUAGAAAAUAAAAGGAGGAAAGGGAAGCAAAGAUUUACCUGAGAGAAAUCAAAGUACUUAAGUCUCAUUGGAUUGAUGCAAAGGGCCCAAACUCUUCCGAAAUGACCAGAAAUUGAGGCUAAUUAAUUGUUCUUGCCAAGAACAAUUAACCAGGCUGUAUUUCCGGCUGAUUCGAAACUUGAAACCAAAUAAUUUAAGGGUUUCUAACUUUAUGUAGAUUUGAAAUUUAGGGUUUUUGGCAGGGCUAUUUGGGAAAUCAAUGAUGAAACCGUGAUGAAAGAAGGUUGAGGAUGAUGGGGUGUGAUUUUGGGGUAAUUUGGGGAAGUUAGGGUUUUGACUGAAUUUUCGAUCUACAAUUCGAACAAAUCUGAAGGGAUUCGAGGGAAACUAGCCAGAUAUUAGGAAAGGGGAGGUCAUGAGGCUUCUGUGAUGUUAAGGUGGGGGUGAUUGGAGUACCGGCGCCGCCAUGGGCGAUUUCCGGCGGGCGGAGCCGGUAAAGGAGUCUUCAGGCGGCUAGGGUUUGGAUUUUUUAGAGAGAUGAGUGGUGAAUGAGGA
rnacentral:lncRNA from 1 species